CCCAAGAAAACGGUAUAUGCAUUCCAGUGAUAAACCGGGAAAAUUCUGACGAAUGUACACAUUACAGACACAAAUGGGUUAAUCGGAAGUCUCAACCAAAUGUGUCUUUAUACAGCCUGUUGCUAUUAUUUACUUGCAUUAGCCUUUGUGAAUGUAACCAAUGAGGUUUAUUCUAUCCCAAUUUUCAGAAAUCCGUUUAGUUGAGGCACACGUACACUUAAUAUACGCAUACCAAACCCGAGUGCGAAUGUUAUUCCAUAAUCAUGGCUUAUUUUGUCAUAAAGAUUCACCACCGUGUAAUAGAAUUACAACCAUGCAGCUACCAGCAUCCUUUUGGCAUCAAAUUUCCUGCCAUUUCACUCAAUUAUUCCACGAAAUCCGCGUCAUUUCCCUUCGUUCGAAGAAUCGGCAAUACAAGGCAGACGAAAUGCGUUCAGAUUUGUAGAACGUGUUGUGCAAAUAACGGAGGGUCGAUUUCCCGUGGGCAGCCAGGCACGGGGUAGCGCUACCGAUGGUAGUGGUAAGUAGAAGGCGGUUGAGGCGUAGAAACGUCGUGGAGCGUGUCCGUGGAUCUGUGGAGGCAGCAAGGGAAGAUCGAAAGAGGGCAAAAGGAAGAUUCUUCUCGGCUUUGGGUCGUGGGGUCGACUCGUCGGUCUCACGCAAGGCCUGCGUGCAACGAGACCGGCGAUGGGCCGUUCCAAGACGAAUCGGCUGGCAACCGAGCUAACCGAUGAGAAAGAACGAGAGACUGUACACCACCAGCUUGCCAAACGAUCAGACGGUUCACCGAGCGCGAUGCGGCUCGUUGUUCCCUUGGAAAGCUUUGUUCGACCCACCGAAUAUCGCUAUCUCGAUUUUUCGAUAAGUUAGAGCGAAAUUGGACCUUCCGACCUAGAUAUAUACUUCUUCAUUUGUUUACCGCAAG